UUAGACCAUUGUCAGUGACGUCAUUCUACGCGACUACCACAGGUGAAGGUGCUGCCCACCCAUGAUGCCAGCAAGGUGCGUGCAAGUGGAUCCGGCCUUAAAACCACUGGAGUGCCCAGCUCUCUGCCAGUGAAGUUCAACAUUGAUGGCAAGAUGCAGGACCCAGACGGGAAGCCCAAGAAGCAAAUAUCUGUGACAACCAUGAUGGGACCUACCUGGUGUCUUAUGUGCCAGACAUGACUGACAGCUGCUCAGUCCAUCCAGACUCCUCUCCAUAUGCAACAGUGAUGCCGGCUCUCUCCAAGUG